UGGAGUCAUGAUCCAUUUCAAACAAAGGAUGACUUAUUGUUAAAGAACCAUGAGGUCAAUUCAAAAGAAAACACAACCAUAAUUGUAACCAGCAUCAUGAUCCAUGUCCCUGAUCAUGGUUUACUAGGACUAAAAGUAAAGGCUCCAUUUCAUGGUCAGUGUAACUUUGCAUAGCCUUUCCAUAUUUAAAGAUGAUUGAAUCCUAGCCAUUUCUCCUCUUUCACCAAGGAUCAAUUAUUAAAUGGUUCAGUCCUCAGUUGGACUGGUCUUUGGUCCAGUUUCCGGAGUAGUCAUAAACUAUGUCAGAUUAGUACGCAUACAGAGAAACCUGCCUUGCAGGAUAGGAGAGUAUAGUAGUAGAAUAAUACUCCUACAUUUUGUUUUUAUUCUAAAACCAAUUUGAAACCACACCUUACUGCCCACUACCAACAAGGUACCUGAGCUUUCAUCUCCCAAAGCUUUUUUUCCACUGAGUUUUUUCUGACCAAUCUUUGGCUUCUGUGAGAAAGAGAUAAACCCAUGUUAGAUUUACAGUUUAAGAAAUUAUAGAAUAAGAUUGAACACCACAUACAACAAAAAGAAAAACUCUAACCUCAAUAAAACUAAUUAAACUAUGGAGUACUAAACAUAGUUUAUUACACCCCAUUUACACUCUGCAGCUUCUUUUCAAGCACUAAAAACCAUAUUUUAUGUUCAAACCUUAUAGAUCCAGCUAUACUCCAGAUUCCUCCAUCUGGACAGCUUGUUUUGGUUGCAGCAAAGAGGGGUCUUUCUCUUUUCAUCUUAGCACCAAAUGAAACAAAAAUCCAGGUAAAGUGAAUAGUUUUAAGUAUUCUUUCACUAUCUUCUGUUGUUUCAUGAUGGAUUCAAACAAUCCAUACCCCUCUUGCUUCUUUUAUCAUAAUGAUGGAUCAACAAAACUAUACGUUUCUUUUUUCCCAUCUAGUUUUGUGACAAAGUUUUGAUUUUUAUCCUAAUAUUGGAUCCUUACUUUGGUCUGAUCCCACCCCAGAACAGUGAAAAGUCAGGUUCUGACUUAGGAAGGC
rnacentral:lncRNA from 1 species